rnacentral:snRNA from 1 species
AUACUCUGGUUUCUCUUCAAAACGAAUAAAUCUUUCACCUUUUCCUAAAGAUUUCCGUGGAGAGGGACAGUUAUGAGUUGGUAACCAAAUUUUUUGAGGUCUUGCUUAGGCAAGGCU